UACAGAGGUCUCAAGCGUUGUUCGGAUUCAUUGGGCGUAAAGGGCGCGUAGGCGGCGAGGUAAGUCGGGUGUGAAAUCUCAGAGCUCAACUCUGAAACUGCACUCGAUACUGCUUUGCUAGAGGACUGGAGAGGAGAUUGGAAUUCACGGUGUAGCAGUGAAAUGCGUAGAGAUCGUGAGGAAGACCAGUGGCGAAGGCGGAUCUCUGGACAGUUCCGUGACGCUGAGGCGCGAAGGCCAGGGGAGGCAAACGGG
rnacentral:rRNA from 1 species